rnacentral:rRNA from 1 species
AUGAGGGCCCCCACCGCUUUGGUCCCGUCUGCCUUAUCUUCUCCACGAACCCAAUCCUCCACCAGUUUCUCUUUCUUUUCCCCUUCCUCGUUCAUGACGCGGCAGAGGAGAGGCAGCACCACAACCCGCAGCGGAGGAGGGGACUUCGGCGCCGCCUUGAUUCAUCUCACUCAAGGGGCUGCAAUGAAGCACCGCCACAGCUGUAUUGGAGCGCAGCCGGAGCUGCAUCGCAACACAUCCCUGCGCUGCAUCGCAGCUUCAGCCAUGUCCGCCGCGUGCUGCAUCCCAACAUCCGUCGCCGCCGGCGCCGCAUCGCACCAACCACCGCACCGCGUCGAAGCUUCCGUCACCAUCACCAUGCGCUGCAUCGCAGCAUCCCCGCUGCGUCGCAGCUCCCGCCAUGGCCGCCAUCAGCUGCCCGCUAACACAGCUCUUCGUCAGGGCCGGCUCGUCGGCGGCGCCGAAGAGGCGAGGCAGCUGCACGAAGCGGGCGAGCUGCGGCGCCUCCUCGAAGGCACCGCGGGGCAGGACCCGGCCUUCGUUUGCGACGCGUGCGGGGGCGUCCGCUUCGUGCCCUGCCCCGCCUGCGCUGGCUCCCGCAAGGUUUUCGUGGAGGAAGGACGCACCAGCUGCUGCGGCCACUGCAACGAGAACGGCUUGUGA